GAUGAAUGAAAGUUCUGAUUUUCAGGAGAUUAUAAGCAAAUUACUAUAGAAACCUUUUUUAUUUAAUGUUUAUAUGAUAGCUACCAUCAGAAUAUUUAUU